rnacentral:lncRNA from 1 species
CAGCGCACAUGCACAAGUAGCAGCAUCUCCCAGCGCACGGCUCCGACUCACCGCCCGCCUUGUGUUCCGCUGCAUGUUGGACGACAGCUUCGGGACGCCCCGCCAUCUUGCUAGGCUUGCCACCGUAUCGCCGGCCAGCGGCCCGGCACGCCGUCCGCCUUGUGUCCCGCUGCACGCUGGAUGGCAGGCGGCACAACUUCGGCCUUUGGGAUGCCCCGCUCCCUACCCCGCGGCGUCUCGAAUCCUAGAUUCUACCCCUUCAGGCGGCAAUGGGGAAGGCAGCAUGCAGCGACCCAUAUGUUGGAUGGCAGCUCGGGAGGCGUCCCAACCCCGCCGAGAGUGGCGCCUCGGCGCUCUCCCCGCCUGGUGAGGCAGUCCGGUGCCCAGCUCCUGGCGCUCUCCCUGCCCGGUGAGGCAGUCCGGCGCCCGGCCCCCGCCUUUUCUGGCAUCGCCUAUCGCGUAGUGGAACGGAGCGUCCAGUGCGUGGAGAGCUCGCGGCCAGCACCAUGAAGUCCUACCUGGACGACGUUCUUGGUUGUGUGUGUCUUGUGUCCUUGUGUCUGAUGCCUCCCGAAGAAGCUAUUUCGCGUGUGUGCGUUGGAUCGUAGGCACGCACGAGCAGCACGUCGGCGGAUGGGACCGCUCUCCAUCGAUUCCUCGCCGCUGCAUGAGGUGUCGGCGCUAGCGCUCGACGAGCAUCCAAUCAUCAUCUUGUUCCAGGUACGAAAGGGAGCGACAGGCAAUCAUCAUCAUGUCACGCACUGUCGCCUGUGAGGAACACGUUGGAUGACGUGUCCCCGUGCGCGAAUCCUUGGCUGAAGGCAGUGACCGCACGCGAAACAGUGUUAGUAUUGUCUUUCGACUUUCUUUCUGAAUUACUCACUCCGUUUUUAAAUAUUUAUCUUUUUAAAUAUUUCGAAUGAAUCACCACAUACGGAUGUAUAUAGGCAUAUUUUAGAAUGUAGAUUCAUUUGUUGAAAUCUAUAGAAAGACAAAUAUUUAGGAACAGAAGGAAUAUUUAGCACGAUUUGGUAGAUCAGAAUGGAGAUGUUUCAUGUACUCUCUCCGUUCCAAAAUUCUUGUCGUAGCUUUCUCUAGAUACGGAUGUAUCUGACUUGAUACAUCCGUAUUUAGACAAAUAUAAGACAAGAAUUUUGGGACGGAGGGAGUACUACUUUAACAAAUCCCAUCAGCUAAGAUUGUUGUUUUUAUUUUCCCAAUGUGAGUACGCACAUGAUAGGCAAAUGCAGUGUCCUCUUAACUGGGGCCUUUCUCUUCCGGGGACAUAUAAAAGAUUUUACCACUAAUAGUGACCGUAUGCAGAUUGCUAGCAUUGUAUCAUUAGCAGUAUGAAGGCUUUUUGUUUGUUUGUUCGACAAGAUGGUACUCAUAAGCAUUGCGUGGGGCCUUUCUCUCUCAGGCUUACAUAUAAGAUUUUCACUUGUUCAUUCAAAUAUACUUAUGUUUUUCUAUUGGUUUUGUGUUCUGCAACGCGCACGUAUGCCAUGAUAUUGCAAUGAAUUAUGUGAUUUCACAAGUAGUGCUUCAUUAAUCAUGAUAAACUUCAGAAUUAUGAACGUGUUUUAGCUGUAGAACAAAGAUGAAAAUUCUUUCUAGUGCUUAGAUAGAUAGACAAUCUUGGACACAUAUGGUCUUCGUUAAAGAAAUUGGUAUAAAAUUUAGUUUUUUGACACGGUUUUUCCCCAAAUCCGGAACUGAUCUCCAGUUUGUCAGCAUUGAUGGAUGAUGGAUCUCUUCGACUAAGUAUUAAUUUCUCACAUAAUAGGAUUGCAUUACUAUUUGAUACUACUGAUUGUUCAAUGUAUAUUUGCACUUAACUGAUUAUACAAUUGCUUCAUUUAGUUGGUGAAUAACUUCUACAAACAUUUUUAUACUAAAAUCAUAACCAGUUAAUUUGUUUUACUUGUGCUGCAUGAAUUUCCCAUUUUGCUAUUAUUUAAAAAUGCUAUUUAAUUAUCUGUCAACUUUAUUCUACCACUUCGAUGAAUCUUCUACCACUUGAUGAAUCUGUCUAUCUUUGACUCUCUGUUUAGUUAGUUGAUUAUACAAUUGCUUCAUUUAGAUAGUGAAAAACGUUUUACUAACUUUUUUUUUACUGAAGUCAUAUACCAAAUUUUUUAUUUGUACUGCAUGAUUUUCCCAAAAAUUUUUAUUUAAAAUUGAUAUUAAUCUGUUUAAAAUUUAUUUUGCCAUUUUGACAAAUCUGUGUUAUCUUUGAUUUUCUAUUUUGAAGUAGUUUUUGUGUGAAUUUCUUGGAAUUCUUUUUGGCGUUGGGCUAAUCUGUGGUUGUCACGUGCAUAAUUUGGGGAUUUGGUUGGGAACGUUUUCUAGGAUGGAUUAUCAAUUGUUUGUUGAUGGUGAUCCAUGAUAACUGACACGACGCAUGAUAUGACCAGGCGUUCCCAUGCAUGCAGUUGCGUCCCGCCGCUAAAUUGUAAGGUGUGGUUGUUUCUCGAUACCGCUUCUUCUGAAAUUUCUGGAGUGUUUCUUCCUCUAUAAAUAUGGGUGCAUGCGUCUUGAUAUGCAUCAAUAGGUUACCUGAUAAUGGUUCGUAAUGAUUUCCGUCAUGGGGGUGCCAGUUGCGUGGGUCGACCUCCUGGAAUUCGUGUAUCAUUAUUGGUCGGGCGUGUCCGCACUAGAGAACCUGACGCAGCCGAAGGCCGGUGUACAAGAUGAUUCCUCCUUGGUGCCCUGCUCGAAGGUCAUGCCUUUGCAGUCGUAGAUCAAUGGUGCGGCAGCGGCCCUGACGCCGCUGCGGUCAUCAGUGUGGCAAAGGCGGCGGCGGCGCCUGUUGUGGAGUAUACCGACAUGGCCAACGAGUUCGACAAAAAUGACCGAGGAUGACUAGAAGAUCAAGGGCGCCGACGAUGCGCGCCAUCUCCGGCAACAUGAUGAUGCACCGUAAAUCUCAAUGCCGAUGCAUUCGCCCACGGCUCGCUGGAUCGCAGCACCAAGGCAGCUGCCAUAGAUCUCUUCCAUUUCAUGUAUUUCUUAUCUAUCCAUGUACGCAGUCAUGUGUGUAAAUUAUAAGUAAGGUAUUUCCUGUGUUUCCAAUCCAAGUAUUAAUACAUGUAUAUGAUUCAUAUAUGAAAAAAUAAAAAAUAAAACAAACAAACAAAACUAAAUCAUUCAUUUUAAUUGCAAGACUUACAUUAACAACAUGCAUAUCAUUAAGUAGCGAACAAUAGAACAAUAGUACUAGACUAAAUUAAAGACCAACAUGCAAAAUUUAUUCAACGUGUACAGAAAAUAACACCAAAACUUAUCAACAAAG